rfam:Gossypium hirsutum cultivar TM-1 unplaced genomic scaffold scaffold3179.1, whole genome shotgun sequence
AAUAGGAGAAUGAUAAAUCAAAAUCUUCCUCCUGAUUUUUAGCUUUUUCCUCUGAAAAAAUUAAUUUUAACUAAAAAUGCUAAAAAUUAGGAGGAAAAAUUUAAAUUGUCAUCCUCCUAUU